UAUUUGUUUUAAAGCAGACAACCCAGGGUAUUCAAUAUGGGGUAUUUCCUGUCUUUUUUAUUAGCCACUUUGUCACAAACACUGGCCAAAGUUAGCAUUUAUUUUUGUUUGUGUGUUAAAAAUGCAAAAAACAAUUAUGAAUGCUAACGUUAGCCAGUGUUUCUGACUAAGUGGCUACUAAAAAAGACUGAACAUACCCCAUUUGCAAUACCUUGGUUGUCUUCUUUUGCAAAUG
rnacentral:miRNA from 1 species